UACGAGGGUCCCAAGCGUUAUCCGGAUUUAUUGGGUUUAAAGGGUGCGUAGGCGGGUUAUUAAGUCAGUGGUGAAAGCCUACAGCUUAACUGUAGAAUUGCCAUUGAUACUGAUGAUCUUGAGUAUGAUUGAGGUGGGCGGAAUGUGUCAUGUAGCGGUGAAAUGCUUAGAUAUGACACAGAACACCGAUUGCGAAGGCAGCUGGCUACACAAAUAUUGACACUGAGGCACGAAAGCGUGGGGAUCAAACAGG
rnacentral:rRNA from 1 species